GUUAAAAAGCUCGUAGUCGAACUUCGGGCUCUGUCAGCCGGUCCGCCUUCUUGGUGUGUACUUGUUUGACGGAGCCUUACCUCCUGGUGAACGGCGAUGUCCUUUACUGGGUGUCGUCGCAAACCAGGACUUUUACUUUGAAAAAAUUAGAGUGUUCAAAGCAGGCCUUUGCCCGAAUACAUUAGCAUGGAAUAAUAAAAUAGGACGCGCGUUCCCAUUUUGUUGGUUUCUGAGAUCGCCGUAAUGAUUAAUAGGGAUAGUUGGGGGCAUUUGUAUUCCGUCGUCAGAGGCGAAAUUCUUGGAUUGCCGGAAGACAAACUACUGCGAAAGCAUUUGCCAAGGAUGUUUUCAUUGAUCAAGAACGAAGGAAGGGGGAUCGAAAACGAUUAGAUACCGUUGUAGUCUCUUCUGUAAACUAUGCCAAUUGGGGAUCGGUACAGGAUUUUUAAUGACUGUAUCGGCACCCGAAGAGAAAUCUUUAAAUGAGGUUCGGGGGGGAGUAUGGUCGCAAGGCUGAAACUUAAAGGAAUUGACGGAAGGGCACCACCAGGUGUGGAGCCUGCGGCUUAAUUUGACUCAACACGGGGAAACUCACCAGGUCCAGACACAAUAAGGAUUGACAGAUUGAUAGCUCUUUCUUGAUCUUGUGGUUGGUGGUGCAUGGCCGUUCUUAGUUGGUGGAGUGAUUUGUCUGGUUAAUUCCGGUAACGAACGAGACCUUAACCUGCUAAAUAGACCAGCCGGCUUUGGCUAGCUGCUGUCUUCUUAGAGGGACUAUCAGCGUUUAGCUGAUGGAAGUUUGAGGCAAUAACAGGUCUGUGAUGCCCUUAGAUGUUCUGGGCCGCACGCGCGCUACACUGACAGAGCCAGCGAGUCUACCACCUUUGCCGGAAGGCAUGGGUAAUCUUGUGAAACUCUGUCGUGACGGGGA
rnacentral:rRNA from 1 species